rnacentral:rRNA from 1 species
GACGAACGCUGGCGGCGUGCCUAAUACAUGCAAGUCGAGCGAAGUUUUUCUGGUGCUUGCACCGGAAAAACUUAGCGGCGAACGGGUGAGUAACACGUAAAGAACCUGCCUCAUAGACUGGGACAACUAUUGGAAACGAUAGCUAAUACCGGAUAAUAGCAUUAACUGCAUGGUUGAUGUUUAAAAGUUGGUUUUGCUAACACUAUGAGAUGGCUUUGCGGUGCAUUAGCUAGUUGGUGGGGUAAGGGCCUACCAAGGCGACGAUGCAUAGCCGACCUGAGGGGGUGAUCGGCCCCCCGGGGACUGAGCCCCGCCCCCGCCCCCUCCGGGGGGCCGCAGUGGGGAUUCUUCCGCAAUGGGCGAACCCCUGACGGAGCAACGCCGCGUGAGUGAAGAAGGUUUUCGGUUCGUAAAGCUCUUUUUUUAGGGAAGAAUGAUUGUUUAGUAACUUUACACAGUAGCGACGGUACCUAACCAAAAAGCCCCGGCUAACUCCGU